rnacentral:rRNA from 1 species
UCUUGGCCAGCCUUCUGAAAGGAAGAUUAAUCCAGGAUGGCAUCAUGAGUUCACAUGUCCGCAUGAUUAAAGGUAUUUUCCGGUAGACGAUGGGGAUGCGUUCCAUUAGAUAGUAGGCGGGGUAACGGCCCACCUAGUCAACGAUGGAUAGGGGUUCUGAGAGGAAGGUCCCCCACAUUGGAACUGAGACACGGUCCAAACUCCUACGGGAGGCAGCAGUGAGGAAUAUUGGUCAAUGGGCGAUGGCCUGAACCAGCCAAGUAGCGUGAAGGAUGACUGCCCUAUGGGUUGUAAACUUCUUUUAUAAAGGAAUAAAGUCGGGUAUGCAUACCCGUUUGCAUGUACUUUAUGAAUAAGGAUCGGCUAACUCCGUGCCAGCAGCCGCGGUAAUACGGAGGAUCCGAGCGUUAUCCGGAUUUAUUGGGUUUAAAGGGAGCGUAGAUGGAUGUUUAAGUCAGUUGUGAAAGUUUGCGGCUCAACCGUAAAAUUGCAGUUGAUACUGGAUGUCUUGAGUGCAGUUGAGGCAGGCGGAAUUCGUGGUGUAGCGGUGAAAUGCUUAGAUAUCACGAAGAACUCCGAUUGCGAAGGCAGCCUGCUAAGCUGCAACUGACAUUGAGGCUCGAAAGUGUGGGUAUCAAACAGGAUUAGAUACCCUGGUAGUCCACACGGUAAACGAUGAAUACUCGCUGUUUGCGAUAUACGGCAAGCGGCCAAGCGAAAGCGUUAAGUAUUCCACCUGGGGAGUACGCCGGCAACGGUGAAACUCAAAGGAAUUGACGGGGGCCCGCACAAGCGGAGGAACAUGUGGUUUAAUUCGAUGAUACGCGAGGAACCUUACCCGGGCUUAAAUUGCACUCGAAUGAUCCGGAAACGGUUCGGCUAGCAAUAGCGAGUGUGAAGGUGCUGCAUGGUUGUCGUCAGCUCGUGCCGUGAGGUGUCGGCUUAAGUGCCAUAACGAGCGCAACCCUUGUUGUCAGUUACUAACA